rnacentral:lncRNA from 1 species
UUAAAAAAAAUAUAAAAAUUUAUUCGUAAAAUCAUUAUUUUCUUAUAUAUCUACAAAUAGCAUAUAGUGAGAUACUGUUACAUUUCACGCAAGUAAUACAUAUAAUUAUUACAUGUGAGUAAUACAUCACCAAUAACAAUCAUAAAACGGUCUCUUAUCUACAAACAGUUUUUUACAAAUUAGUCAACAGUGAUGCACACUUCAUUUGACUCGGAAGAAACUGUCUUGCUGCUAUUACACUCAGAAGAGUUCAUCUUGUAGAACGCUCUCCACUCAUCAAUAUUCUUCAUCUGAUCACAUCUCAACUCAGGUAAUCGUCUCCUCUCUACAAUCUCUAGAAUCUUCUCUGUUCUCCCGAGAUGCAGAGCCGCUCCUCUAACCGAUUCCUCCCUCACUUCAACAGCCGUCACCAAACACUUAACAGACACAACUUGCACCACGUUGC